AUUUAUAAGAAUAUGAUGUUGGUUCAGAUUAAGCGCUAAAUAAGGACAUGACACAUGCGAAUCAUACGUUUAUUAUUGAUAAGAUAAUAAAUAUGUGGUGUAAACGUGAGUAAUUUUAUUAGGAAUUAAUGAACUAUAGAAUAAGCUAAAUACUUAAUAUAUUAUUAUAUAAAAAUAAUUUAUAUAAUAAAAAGGAUAUAUAUAUAAUAUAUAUUUAUCUAUAGUCAAGCCAAUAAUGGUUUAGGUAGUAGGUUUAUUAAGAGUUAAACCUAGCCAACGAUCCAUAAUCGAUAAUGAAAGUUAGAACGAUCACGUUGACUCUGAAAUAUAGUCAAUAUCUAUAAGAUACAGCAGUGAGGAAUAUUGGACAAUGAUCGAAAGAUUGAUCCAGUUACUUAUUAGGAUGAUAUAUAAAAAUAUUUUAUUUUAUUUAUAAAUAUUAAAUAUUUAUAAUAAUAAUAAUAAUAAUAUAUAUAUAUAAAUUGAUUAAAAAUAAAAUCCAUAAAUAAUUAAAAUAAUGAUAUUAAUUACCAUAUAUAUUUUAUAUGGAUAUAUAUAUUAAUAAUAAUAUUAAUUUAUUAUUAUUAAUAAUAUAUUUUAAUAGUCCUGACUAAUAUUUGUGCCAGCAGUCGCGGUAACACAAAGAGGGCGAGCGUUAAUCAUAAUGGUUUAAAGGAUCCGUAGAAUGAAUUAUAUAUUAUAAUUUAGAGUUAAUAAAAUUAAUUAAAGAAUUAUAAUAGUAAAGAUGAAAUAAUAAUAAUAAUUAUAAGACUAAUAUAUGUGAAAAUAUUAAUUAAAUAUUAACUGACAUUGAGGGAUUAAAACUAGAGUAGCGAAACGGAUUCGAUACCCGUGUAGUUCUAGUAGUAAACUAUGAAUACAAUUAUUUAUAAUAUAUAUUAUAUAUAAAUAAUAAAUGAAAAUGAAAGUAUUCCACCUGAAGAGUACGUUAGCAAUAAUGAAACUCAAAACAAUAGACGGUUACAGACUUAAGCAGUGGAGCAUGUUAUUUAAUUCGAUAAUCCACGACUAACCUUACCAUAUUUUGAAUAUUAUAAUAAUUAUUAUAAUUAUUAUAUUACAGGCGUUACAUUGUUGUCUUUAGUUCGUGCUGCAAAGUUUUAGAUUAAGUUCAUAAACGAACAAAACUCCAUAUAUAUAAUUUUAAUUAUAUAUAAUUUUAUAUUAUUUAUUAAUAUAAAGAAAGGAAUUAAGACAAAUCAUAAUGAUCCUUAUAAUAUGGGUAAUAGACGUGCUAUAAUAAAAUGAUAAUAAAAUUAUAUAAAAUAUAUUUAAUUAUAUUUAAUUAAUAAUAUAAAACAUUUUAAUUUUUAAUAUAUUUUUUUAUUAUAUAUUAAUAUGAAUUAUAAUCUGAAAUUCGAUUAUAUGAAAAAAGAAUUGCUAGUAAUACGUAAAUUAGUAUGUUACGGUGAAUAUUCUAACUGUUUCGCACUAAUCACUCAUCACGCGUUGAAACAUAUUAUUAUCUUAUUAUUUAUAUAAUAUUUUUUAAUAAAUAUUAAUAAUUAUUAAUUUAUAUUUAUUUAUAUCAGAAAUAAUAUGAAUUAAUGCGAAGUUGAAAUACAGUUACCGUAGGGGAACCUGCGGUGGGCUUAUAAAUAUC
rnacentral:ncRNA from 1 species